rnacentral:rRNA from 1 species
AACGAACGCUGGCGGCGCGUCUUACACAUGCAAGUCGAACGGCAGGAAGGGGCUUGCCCCUUCUGAGAGUGGCGGACUGGUGAGUAACACGUGGGUGACAUACCUUUUAGUUGGGGAUAGCUAUUAGAAAUAGUAGGUAAUACCGAAUGUGACCGUACCUGUUAGAGGGGUACGAGGAAAGGAGCUAAGGCUUCGCUAAAAGAAUGGCUCGCGGCCCAUUAUGCUCGUUGGUGAGGUAACGGCCCACCAAGGCGAUGAUGGGUAUCCGGCCUGAGAGGGUGAACGGACACAUUGGGACUGAGAUACGGCCCAGACUUCUACGGGAGGCAGCAGUUAAGAAUAUUCCGCAAUGGACGAAAGUCUGACGGAGCGACGCCGCGUGGAUGAAGAAUGCCGAAAGGUUGUAAAAUCCUUUUAAGCCUGAUGAAUAAGCACAGUAGGGAAUGAUUGUGCGGUGACCGUAGGGCUUGAAUAAGCACCGGCUAAUUACGU